UACGUAGGGACCGAGCGUUGUCCGGAAUCAUUGGGCGUAAAGCGCGUGUAGGCGGCUCGGUAAGUCCGCUCUGAAAGCCCGGGGCUCAACCCCGGGAGGCGGGUGGAUACUGCUGAGCUCGAGUCCGGAAGAGGAGUGUGGAAUUCCUGGUGUAGCGGUGAAAUGCGCAGAUAUCAGGAGGAACACCAAUGGCGAAGGCAGCACUCUGGGACGGUACUGACGCUGAGACGCGAAAGCGUGGGGAGCAAACAGG
rnacentral:rRNA from 1 species